AAAUGUUCCGCGUGAGUCAGGCAUCUAAGAAGACGACCGUGCCCGGCAGGACCCCCGCCCAGGGCCUGCAUAUAUAGCUCGGGCCCGAGCUCGUCUUCCUUUUGUGUGCCCGGCUCCAGCGAGAUGGCGCCUGAGGUGUGCCGUCUGCCUGGUGUCCCCAUGGGCGAGCGCUGCGGAGCCGAGCGGAGGUACCGGGGGCGCUGCUGGGGCGAGGCUGUACCCCGGGCUGAGCGGGAUGAUUCACCUUGCAGACUAGAGUUUCUGAGGUUACCGUGACGCCGCUGCUUGAAACUGACCCAGCCCUGGCGCGGGGAGGUCGGCUGGCGCCUCCCUCGUCUCCGCUAGCGCAAAGGCCUUUUUUUUUCUCCUCAGGUUCCUGCGCCUGGAAGGCGGGCGAGCCUGCGCGGCGAGAUGUUCCUCAGGAGUCUUCAGGUAGCCGCCGUUUGUCACCCUUAAAUACAGCAUGAGAGUUCUGCAGCCCCAAGCAGGAGGGGAGCCCCUAACCUGAUGGUGGAAAAGCUAAGGUUUGGGCUCGGCCCCUUCCCUGAUGGUUGCGGUCCUACGAGGCCUGGAUAGCCUUCGUGCUGUGGCGCCUGCGGGCUGUGACCACAAUCACCAAGGCCUUUUUCCCGUUGCUGCAGAUUUUAGCUGGCAGAUGUCGUCUCCUGUCUGUCUGAUGCUGGGCAGAUGCUAAGAGCUUACGUCAUCCUGUGUUAAUCUGCAGGAACAGUCGUCAACUCCAGUUGGAAGUUUUAUGACACUAAGUAGAAAAUGUGUGCUUACAUUUAUUUUGGUUUUUGGAAGGAAGUACCUCUGCAAAACAACUAAUAAAGUACUUUAAAAAC